rnacentral:snRNA from 1 species
AGUUCUUCUCAGCUUUUUGGUUAAGAUCAAGUGUAGCAUCUGCUCUUAUCAGUUUAAUGUGGAAUCUUCCUUGUGCAAAAUAGCUACUCCAUACUAUGCUGUGAGAUCUCCCCAAAUAUUUCAUUUUAUUCCUAUGUAAAGAUCAAUUUCU